rnacentral:ncRNA from 1 species
UGUAAGUGCAGGUAUUCAUACACUGCACACGAGUGGUCUACGAUCCUUUGGUUUAAGCGUAAUGUAAGUACGUCGCCCACUUGGGAACCACCUUCGGGUGGUUUUUCUUUUGUUU